CUGAGGUAAAGGGAGACCUGAAAUCUGGGCUCUUGCUGAGGAGGAGAGUCAUGUCAGAUUAAGGCAGCGUGUGAGAGAUUUAUUACUUUUCAAAUGUCUGCAAUGACUAAGUGUUGUACAAAGGUUAGAAAAGGAAGCCAGGCCCAAAGUGCCUCACACUGCCUCGAUGUCAAUGUUUGGCGCCCAAGGAGGACCAAAUAAGCGGUAACACAAAGCUCUGCUGAGCCCUGGCGGAGUAGUUUGUGAAGUCUUGCCUGCGGAGAAAUGCAAUACUGAGCACAGAGAGGCAGCUCAGAGAGUCUGUUUAUUGAAAUAAAGUGAAAGCAUAAGCAGAAAAGCAAGUAGAAGGUCCCACUGCAAAAUGAUGACCUACUGAGAGCACUAGAUACUAAAGGAGGAUAUACGUGACCUUACCCAACAAGACCGUGAUAUAAGCUCCCCUCAAUUGAUCCACUAAACUUUGAGACUCCUCUUGCCGUGCAUCUGAGUUACUUCCGGCUUUCUUUUUCCUCUUAAAGGGGAAGAAGGAUUUGAACAUCUGGAAACAGGCAGUAUGUGAAACAGGUGUGAUUGCAAUGAGAAGAUGUGUAGACCAUCAUUUCUUUCACCAAAGACCACCUGCUGAGCAUAGUUCACAUCCCAAAUACCAUCACUUCAUUGAAAAAAGAAGAAGAAGCUUUUGCAGUCAUCACAGAAGACAAUUAUUGGCUAGGAUCCUGCUUCCUCUGCAACCCAUCCCCCUGUGCCCAUGAAAACCCACGACUGACGGUCAAGCAACAUCUGAAAUGGCAUGGGUUGAAGUGUGUUGCAGGAGCGGUGGGGGGGGGGUCUGCAGCAGUAGAAGAGAAUGAUAGAAAUUGAAGGUCUUUGCAUCAGUGUAAUAUACACCCUGAGGUCAUUCACACAAUCAAAAAUUGUGUUCUGUCUGGGUUUGGGAGCUAUGUGUGCUUCCAAUUUUUGGUUGUGCGGAAGCAAGGUAGGAGGAAAACCUGGGUAGCUUUUUCUUCCUACCUGGCUUCCACACAAUCAUUUUUACCCAGGUUCUCCUCUUACUCUGCUUCCACACAAUUGAAAACUGGGAGCACACACAGCUCCCAAACCCAGUUUUUGGGCACCCUCGCACCCAAAACAUGGGUUAAGAAGUGGGCUACCCAGGAGCUUUUGCCACCGCACUGCUGCCGGGAGCCAUGUGGCUCCUGUUGGUUCUCACACGCGGCUAAAAUUGGGCUGGGCUUCCCUAGCCUGAUUUUAGCCAUGUGUGAGAAUAGCCUCAUUGUUUUCAUUUAAGUGUGCAUGAAAUAUUACACAUAAAAUAUUAGUAAGGUAUAUUAAAAUAGUAAGUCUUUUCAUACUGUCUGCACUUUGGCAGACCAGUUGCUAAUAAUCAUAAUCAUAAAUAAUCUAUCAAAGGCCUCUGUGGCACCUUUCUUUCACUGAAGUAGAGUUUGAAUGCAUGCUCUAUGCUGGCCCCUUUAAAAUUAAGAAGGAAUAUGGAAUGACUGCAUUUGGCGGAUUAUGUCCAAUACAUAUAAAAAGCACGCAAAUAUAUAUCUAAUUUGAGGCACUGCUGGUGUUCCUAUAAAAUUCUCCUCUUAAGGGAGUUUACAGUGGGUGACAUGAUGACUAAGGAUGUGGAGGAGCUGCAUAAUCCAAAGCCCCAUUGUGUGGGUGGAGGAAUAAUGUUUGCUGAUCUCUCUCUCCACCAGAAGCACUUGUUCGCCCAUAAAUAUGUCCCUGAUGGUUGUGCAGUCCAAUUGCUGCCGCUGCCAUUAUUUUAUUGUAUUUAUCUGAUCUGAUCUGAUCUGAUCUAAAUAGAUAGUGCUUCUGCUGGAUAGAAAGAUAAUAAUCUAUCAAAUUGCACUUCCAGAGGAGGAAAGAUUGGUGAAAAUAAUUUCUCCCACUCAUGCGGUGAGACUCUGGAUUAUGAAUUCUUGCAUAGGUGUUUUGAAUGCAGUGCAUCUGCACCUUUAGUCAGCAUUCUCUGCCACUGGUCCAUUUUAGCUUGACAGUCAGACACAAGGACAUAGUUCAUGGAAACAAUGUGAUACUUUUCCCUCAGUCUAAAAUCUGCAAGAAAUAAUGGUGAAAAUCCUCCAAUAAAAGAAAAUUCCAUGAAGAUCAGAGAGGGAGAAGAAGUGUGUGUGUGUGUGUGUGUGUGUGUGUGUGUGUGUGUGUGUGAGAGAGAGAGAGAGAGAGAGAGAGAGAUCCUUUCCCUUGUUUCAUUAAGCACACUGUAAUUAGUAUUAAUUUAUUUUCAGUGUUAACUUACUGAGGCUUAUUUUGUUCUAUUGGCACUGAGUGAGAAGCAAUCCAUCAUUUAUUUGCUUCCCCUCAAGACCCUUAAUUAAAUAAGGAACCCUUCAAUGUAAUGACGAUGGAUCUUGUCAUUAACCUCCAAACAGUCUAGUGACAAAAGCGACAUGUUUGCAGCAUAUCUGGAACUCACAUAGGGGAGCAGCCACCACACAAGAAAUACAUUCUUAAAAGGAACGCAUCUCAGGAUGUUCUUAAUUAAGGGUGCGUUUUUCUAAAGCAGCAGGCAAUAGUGUAUUUUCAUACUGACAAAGGGUGGUAAAACUGCUGAAGUAAAUGCCCGUGCAAGAAACUUUGGGGACUGGGAAAUCAAACAUAUACAGGCCCCCUAUUUGCUCUCCAUUCACAACUGGCUUGCAUACAUAGAGACACAGAUACAGCUCAGCCCAUUCUCUGUCAUCAUCGUCUUCCUCGUCUGUGAGCUUGAAAAGGGCAUUAGGAAGACCCAUAGGGUUCCCACCCUCCUGGACUGAGUCCCCUCAGGAAUCCACUCCAUCCGGAGAGCACCAUUGCCCUCUGCCCAGAUGAAUCCUGGAUGAGCCUCCCUGAGGGAGGAGCCUUCAUAUCAAGCACACGUUCCCUACUCUUUCAUGUGCACUGAGAUUAAGAAAAAAAAGUGGCCCAAAUCAACAUUCAGUAAUUAAAACAAAUAAAAGAGGCAAAAAGAUAACGGACUAACCCAUUUAAAAAGCUACCAAUGGCUAAAAUAAAUUUUGAGAGAGAUUGAAUGUCAAUUGUCUUGAGAUUCACAUGGGGACAAAUCUUCUCCUUGUCCUCCUUUGCUCGCUGCCUGCCCCACCCAAGUGUGCUUCUUGCCCACCCCUACCCACACCACAGCCAAGCUUUAAUAGCCUAAAGUACUUACCUUCUUUCUGGCUGCCUGCAGCACUUUGUUGUUGUAACAAACUUUGACUGUACAAUGUUGGCAGUGCCGCAGCGGCAUACUGCUGAAUUCCUGAGUAGGCUUGGGUGAGAGCAUCCAUUGUGCCAGCUGUACCAUUCGUCAAGCCUGUGGCACCGAGUCCUCCAUUCAGGGCGGCCAUACCUGAGAGCAUUUGAGCAACUUUACAAAAAACCCAACAAUAGAGAAAAGAAAUUGCACUUGUUCAUUAGUGCUUUCCAAACGUCGUUGGCAUUAAUACGACACCGAUGACAAUGGCCAGGCAUGCAAAAAAUUUGGACACUUCACCAGAUGGCACGGAGAGAACAACAGCAACGACAACAGUGAAAAGAAACGCGCACAGAGACUUUGGUCAAGAACGAAUUCAGCACCAACUUGUUUUGCAUGCAAACUGCUCCUGGCAAGUACACCCCAGUCAUCAGGACAGAUCUGCCACAACGAAUAGUGAACUACAGUCAUGUUCUCACUGAGCCGGGCAAACUUGUGUCUGGGCAGACGGCGAGUUGGAAGGGGACUCACAUUGUGGAGUGUUUUGUGGUACAUAUCUUUACCCCAUCUUUGCAUUAAAAUGCUCACACAGCAGCUUACAAAAUAAAACAAGCAGAUGUCAGGGAAAUGGGUCCCUAGCCUUCUGCCUGACAUGCUGUUUUUCUAUGUAUAGGGUUUCUUUUUUAUAUAUUCAUUCAGUCACGUGAACUCCCAUCUGCCAUCCAAAGUGGCACAGCUCAGAAUAUGGCUUGCCUCUUCCAUGAGAACUUGGGCCUAUGGCUGUAAACAGACUAUGAGGUCAUUCACACAAUCAAAAACUGUUCUACCUGGGUUUGGGAGCUGUGUAUGCUCCCAGUUUUUGGUUGUGUGGAAGCAUCGUAAGAGGAAAACCUGAGUAGAAGUGACUCUCUGGAAGCAAGGUAGGAGGAAAACUCCUGGGUAGCUUUUCCUCACAGCCAAAAAUUGGGAGCUUCCACACAACCAAACAUUGUGUGCAUACACUGCUCCCAGACCUGGGUAGAAGUUUUUGAUUGUGUGAAUGACCUCUAUAGUUUUUAAGGUUAUUUUAAGGUUGUGUGAUAGAGGCAUCAUUGAUGGGGGAAUGAUCCUACUACCACCACUAACCCUGGUCAUCUGACACAUCUGGAGAUAUGAAUAUGGGAGAUCAUGACCACUGGGCUGUCUCUGACCUUCAGGUGAUGACCCUGCAUGUCUCAAGGUUUCCGAAUGCUCAAUUCAAAGCUUCACAUCAGUGUGUGGCAGUUGGGAGUUGGGCCAGAUGGCUCAGUCCUGCUCCCCACUAGCACACAUUCAUAUCCCCACAAAAGGUUCUGCAGUUUUUUGUAAUGCCAUAGGAACAAAAUAGCUCUUAUAGGCCAAUGUGCGUAAUGAAGCCCUCAUUAUUAUUAUUUUUAAAAUAUUUCAUGAUAAAGAGCCUGGGGACAUUUAAUCUGUUCUGCCCCCCAAUAACCUGCACACCCUGUUUGACAAGAGAUGCCAGUGGGGCAAAAGAAAGGUACAUUUUUAUCUAAUAUAUAUAUAAUCUAUUUUAUCAUCUUUAAUUCUCAAAGACACAAUUGUUUGUGGGUCAAAUAUUAAAUCUUACAUUAAAUGUGUGUUUCCCUUUUAAAAAAAAAUCAAGUAGUAGCUGUGCAGAAGUUGGGCAGGGAUCAAGACUGGGACUACAGCACAUGGGAGGGGGUACUUAACUCUUCCCCAGUGGCGGUUUUAAGCAGAGGCAGAGUAGGCACUUGCCUACGGUGGCAAAAUUUGAGGAGCGGCAAAGUUCAAUUGUGUUAAUGACCUCACAGUCUUCAAGGCUGCCUUUUGUUGCUGGGAAUUUUAAUUUCCCAUCUUUCCUCCAAAUACAUUUGUUGCGUUUGUGGUUGCUGAGUGGAAUGCUGUUGUGUAAGCACAGCAGUCAUCGCUUGGGCAUUUUGGUAAAAGAAAAAAUGGUGAGCAGCACAGCUUUGCCUUUAUGUGGCCUCACUACUUUAAUGAAUUUUUAAGUUUUUUAAAAUGCAUUUUCCCUUGGAGGCUGUGCAUCCUCUGGCUGUGUCACUCCAGUUCAUCUAAUGAUUUCUCUAACAAGUGGUAAACAGCAGAAAGACUAACCCUUGCAGCAAGGUUAUGCCCCUCCAUCUACUCUAUACAGACAGAAUACUGGGGAGAUUGUAAUGGAAAAGGGAGAACCACAGUGGCUAAAAUAAGACUGGGGGAAUGCUUUGACUGGUUGUGAAGAAAGGCCCAAAGACUAAAAUUAUAAGUCUAAUUCUCACAAUCAUACUGGAUCCAUGGGAGGAGGAAGCAGGAAUAUGUCAGCAUGCCUGCCACCGCUCUCUUGUGCAGGCAGCGUAUGCACAGGCUCUGUACAGAACUACCCACGAAUCCAUAGAGCUCAGGGCCUGCGGGUGCAAUCCCACUACCUUCACUUUGCACAUUUAGCAUAUCCUGACUAGCCAGAUGAAUGUGGCUUUUAAGAGAAUUUAAGAUUUGGAUUAGGUAUGGUGGGAGGAAGAAACUGCAUAGGUCUGAAAACUCUAGCUCUGUGGUAGCAUGCAGGCUUUGCUUGUCUGAGGUCCUAAAUUCAAUCCUUCACCCAAGGCCUGUUCAGGUGUAAUGCAAACUGAGGAUGCUGUACUUGUGUACAGCAUCCUUUAGAAUGGGCUUGAAAGCUCUGCCCCUGCUGUGGUGUGUGAAAACCCCACCGCUGCUUUUUACGCUUACAGUGUUUGUCUGCAGAGACAAAUGUACUGAUGGAGAGAUCAUCCUCAUGAUCAAAGCGCUGGGAGUGCUCCAGCUUUCAAGCACAUUCUUGGGGAUGGUGGACAUGGCUACAGCACCCUCAGUUUGCAAAACAUCUGGACAGGGCUCUUAUAGUUAAAGGAUCUCAACCAGGAGGGCUGGGAAACAUCUCACUCUGAAACCUGAGGAACUGCAGACAGCCAUAGUAGGCAGUGUUGGGCUAGAUGGACAGAGGCGUAACUAGGGAAAACGGUGCCCGGGGCAAGCACUGAAAUGGCGCCCCCCCGCGCCCCCAACAUACUACAUUAUACGUAGGUUUUUCCUCACAAGCGCCCGCCGCCACCGCCAAGCCAGGCCACUGACUGGCCACCAGGCAACAGCAAAGCAAUGGGGGGGGGCGCGGGGGGCACGGAAGGGACCGCUCAUGGGGGAGGGGGCGCCGACGCGCUCCCUUGACUGCUGCAGCGCUGCUGCACGGAGCAGGAAACAUUUGUAUUAACAAAAUAAUAACAAAAAAUUAAAAAAUAUAUAUUUUGUCAUGGCGGCGCCCCCCACGUGACCAGAAAAGAUGGCGCCCGGGGCACGUGCCCCCCCUGCCCCCCCUAUAGUUAUGCCUCUGCAGAUGGAUCAGUGGCUUCCUACAGUCACAUGGCUCCCUUAUAAUGCUACACAUUAGGAAGGGCCUGGAAUUCCAUGCUAGAGCACAUGCAUAAUAGCCCUGAUUCAAUUCCUGGUGUUUCAGAUAGCAGGGCCAUGAAGGACCCCUGGAAAGGAAAGACUGUGUUGAGAGCUGGAUUGGAACUUCUUUGUUUUUUACUAGAACCCUUAGGUCCACCAACUACUAGAGCCAGAUGCAAAAACAGUGGCUGAUAUACUGAGCAAGGUCACGCAUGUGAUGAAAUGGAAUGUCCAGUUGCUCAAGAGUGCAUAUAAUGGCGUCACUGUCACAGAAGUCUUGCUCGAGCCAAUUACCUCCUGCAUCCCAUGAGCCAUAAACUGAGAUGGAACCAAAUUUCUGUUGUUGUUGUUGCUGUUGUUAAAAGUGACAUUUAUUCCAAAUAAAUACAGUUAUGAACUUGGAGACAAACUCUUACUGAUCUACUGCAAACCAUCCAGUGAUCUCCUAGUAGCCUGUAUAGACAAUACUGAGCUAGAUAGACCAAUAGACUGACUCGGUAUAUGGCAGCUUCCUAUGUUCCUAAAUCUCUGAGGUCAUUCACACGACGGGCAGGCAGGCAGGUGGAAGGAUUGUUUUACUCACUUUCCUCCCAGAUGAGAGGGUUCUUGUUUUGGGAGCGCAGACCGCACUCCCAUACGAGCAGCGCUGCAUGGAGGAGUGCGCAGCUCCGGAAGCCAGGACUACGUGUCCCGGCCUCUGGGAAUCCCACAAUGCACUAUGCAACACAUGCAAUGCAUUGGGGGAUUCCCCCAAGAGACAGGUGCUCUAGGCUGGAAACAGCCUGUGCUCACACACGAGCAGGUAGCCCGGGUUAACGGAGUGCUCGCUCCCUUAACCUUGGCUAACAGCUGGGCUAAAAAGCCGGGCUAGGAGGCGCUGCCCCGCCGGGAUUGAGACAAAUCCCAGUGGUUCUCACGUGCAGCUUUAGCCAGGCUGGGCUUCCCUAGCCUGAGUUAGGCUGCGUGUGAGAACAGCCUCUCUCUUGUGCCCACCACUGGAGUAGAUAGCAACAGGCUCAAUCAACCAAUGGUCUGACUUGGAACAAGGCAGCUUCUUACGUUCACAUGGGCCUGAAACGUUAUAAAUUCUGAAACUAUUCAGAGUGAGAAGGAUAUACUAUAACUUGAAGAAUGAUUUAAAAAAAUCAAGCAAAGGAGAUGCGUUGGAAAGAAUUAACACUUUUAUUAGCCUGUGAAAUGGUUGUUUUUCUCUUUAAAAAAAGAAAAGAAAAGUGAGAGAAGAUCGGUCACAGAACUAAUUUAAAAGAGGACUGGCAAUUGAUGACAUGCUCUUGGGAGCAGUCCUGGUAGACAGAAGGCAAGGUGAUAACCCCGUAGUCUCCCACCCCAUCUUUUAUACUGUAUGCAUUAAAGGACAAUGUAUCCCUAUGAGCAUUUAAUAAUUAGGAUAAAUACCCAAGAGUCUCCUUUCUGUUUCCAAUAUGGUCUCUGCCAAUUAAGAAGCUUCUAGUGCAUAAAUUAUACUUUCUGAAAUUAGUAUCACUGAGGCAAUACUAACACUUUGCAAAGAUGAAAUAUUCCACAGCUUUUCCUUAAUAAGGUGUCUUGCACCUGCAGUUUGCAGGGUUCCAGGAGGGGGUAGAGUAGGGGUGAGAAAUAAUAGAAACACUGCUGUAUUUGACACCACUGAUGACACAGAUCACAGACAAUGGAGAAUGAGCAGGAAACAGAAAUGUAUUUGAUGCCCAUUGCCUUGUGGGGACUAUUUAACAAAACCCACAAAUAUUCUAAUAACUGAUUAGUGGGGUGGGGGUGGGAAUCAAAAUUUAGAAGUUCUGACAUAAGGAAUAAGCAUAGAAAUUGUGGAAUAGAUACUGCAGGGCUAUCUUAUGAUUUCCAGAGAAAUGAGAGGUGGCAGAAGGGAUCGUUUUUGCUUCUUCACAUGAGAGCAACAUGGCACAUUGACAACCAUGGUUUCACUUUUGACAGCUUCAACACCAUGGCUGACCCAAAACAUCAGUGCAAUUUGGAUAUACAGCAGAUGUGUAUAACCCCUGCUAACUGAGCAAAAGGACACCUUUUAAAGUGGUGAUUCUCUUAUAUUUAGCAGGGGGAGAGCAACUGGCCCUAUCCAAACCCAGCACAGCAUCCCUCCAGUGGCUUUUGCUGGUGACUACCUUAUGUUUCUUUUUAGAUUGUGAGCCCUUUGGGGACAGGGGACCAUCUUAUUUAUGUAUUAUUUAUUUUUCUAUGUAAACUGCUUUGAGAAUGUUGUUGAAGAGAGGUAUAUAAAUAUUCAUCGUCGUUGUCAUCGUCAUCGUAGUGUACUACACUGUCACCUAUGUUCAUAACAAACCCAAGGGCAGACCUGGCUGUAGCAGCAACAUUAGCACUGGAAUUCAACAGUUAAGCCUAGACAGCAACCAGGCUAAGUGCCACUGAAAUCAAUGAGACCAGUUAGUCAUGACUAAUUGACUGGGACUUAGUCAUGACUAACUUAGUCUGGAUGCUAUGCACUGAGUUUCCCAAUGUCUCAAAAGUUUUUACCUCAUCUGUCAAACACUGGAAUUUCCCAAACAGUGUUGUUAAUGUCUACUAUUAACCUACAGUGGUGCAGAUUUUGAGCUUCAUGAGCAAUUUGGAGGGCAGGGAUGAAAGGGCAAAGGGGAGUCAAACCACAGCUAGUGGGGACAGGGAAGGCAUGGAGUCCUCUCCAACUUUUAACUCUUAAGAAUAUCAAAGUCCUUGCUGGAGAGACCUCCGGCAGUUCUCACUGAAUCCUAAGUCUACCUCUAGCAGGGUUCCCAGGUCAUAUUGCAAUCGUUCUGCAAGUUUCUCCAUUGCCCUGGGGAAACUUACAAAAGCACUGGUUGUGCAACCACCACUUUUGUCCCACCCUGGUGCUGCCUUUGAAGGGUGCAGCCUCCCUACAGCCAGGGGUGUAACUAUAAUAGGGUAAGGGGAGACAGUUGUCUGGGGGCCCACUGCCUUAGGGGGGCCGCCAGAGGCAAGUCACAUGACUGACUCCCCAAGCCACGCACCCGCCUGGCCUUCCUUCAGUUGUAUUCAUCCUCCAGAAUUGAUGUGAGUGUUAAGAUUUGGAGCUACCAGAACAGCAUGUCUUUCUCUAGUACCAUUACAUGACUUGUAUCGUCCACAAUUUACAAAACCUUUUAAUGAUGUUCUAUUGUGGCACAUCGGUUAUAUAGGCCAUUGUCUUUCUUAUUAUUUAUGAGAUGUAGUUGUCCGAGUAUAACUACGUAGAUUGUUCUGAAUAUAGACACUUCCUGAUGAUGAAAAUGUUAGUACUUAUACGGGCAUAUUUAUGCACAACAUAAAUACUGUAAUCUGAAUAGUCUCUCCAUCUCUCCAAGCUCUUUUGGGAAUUGUAGUUCUAUAUGAGGUACUAGAGAUUAACAUAAUUCUCUGCACCCACACUGAACUACAAUUUCCAGGAGACUUUGGGGAAGCCAUGACAGCCAUAACAUACACAUUUGUCAUGUAGAUAUGCCCCAAGUGUCCAGGUUAUUUGCAUAAUGAUUUUAAUAUACCCAAAGUUUCCCUUUCAGUUCCUUUUCAUUCAGGCCCAAGCAAAUAGUCAUAGCAGCAAGACCAUGUCUUCAAAUGGGAGGUCUGUCUCAAUUACAUCUGAAGUGGGGGUUCUAUUUAAAGGAGCCAAAGUGGUGCACAAGCAAGGAAGAAUGCUUAAACUUUAGAGUAACUUUAGAAUGCAGAAAUGCUUAAUAGUUUUAAUAACUCCUCGUACACAUUGCCUUAUUACACUUGCAAUUUUUUUUCCCAAUUGAGCCUUUGCCAGAAGCAAUGCAUAAGGACCCAUGCAACUUCCUCUUACACUUCCAUGGGCACAAAAUAGACCUUUCUGUCACUAGCACAACCCCUCCCCAAAAUCAACACAAUGACAGAGAUGACAAGACAAAACCAGGACUGUUGAGAAGCUAAAGAACAACAAGGACCAUCAUGCAGAGAACCACAGCAAGAAGAAAUGCAAGGGAGAGCAGCAGCUAGAAAUAAAUGAAGGGAGUGGAAAGGGCUGCUGAAAUAAUCACCCCUGACUGCCGGCUUUGGAUAAAGAAGUUGCAACAGAACGACGACAGGGUGAAGAACAGAAAUUCAACCUGUGCAAACAGAUUUCUGAACAAACUGCCCAAGAAUAAAGAGACAAUUCUCUACAUUUGUCUAGGAGAUUAAGUGAAUUAAUUGUAGCAAAACAGGCAACAGCUGCUUUUAUUAAAGUUGCACAAAGGUUUAAAGGAUGGUUGCCAAGCAGAGCAGGUACUUGAAGGUGUAUGUGUGUAUGCGGCAGGGAGCCAUUAAGUCUGUGGGUUCAAGCCCUAUGCUGGGAUGGUACUUCUAACCAUUAUUGUGGCUAGGAUAAGAUGGACAUUUCCUGGAAGCUGCAGAAAUCUUGACAGACCCCUACUGGCCUUGGUAGAACAAAUUCCUCUAGAAGCAGCAAUUCAUGCCAGGGGCAGUCCAAAACAUUCUGACACCUGAAACAGAAGAUCCAAAAGGCACUCUCCGACUGAUUAUCAUUAAAUUUAUUCAGUGAUGGAUUUUAUUGGUUGUCCACUGGAAUACAAAAUUUAAUGAUUAUGAGCUUCCUAAUUCAUUAUUCUCUUUGAUAUGAUUCGUUAUACUGCUAUUUGUAUUUUAUUUAUAGCAAAGCAACACAAGAACAUAAAAACCAAAGCAAUCACAAUUAACAGCAGCAUAAUAAGGAACUGCAAUGUAAAUAAAACCACACAGCAACAAUAACUAGCCGGCAAAAAAUACAGAUGGUAGGGGGAAUUAGUCAUCACAAAAUGUCACGUAGAAAAAGUUAUUCUUUACCAUACAUAAGAAGGAAUAGAUGGAGAGGGUACCAGAGCUUCACAUUCACCCAUCUCUUUGUCAGCCCCAUUUAUACAUUAUGCUCAACACUCAUACAGUGUACAAAUGUACAGUUAUUCACAUGUUUUGCUCAACACAGGUACAGCAGUACACUUCCUAUCUGUACCAUACAUUUGAGGUGCCUAUAUGUGUACAUGUUCACAUUUAACAUGAACGCAAGUAUAGUAAUCAACACCAACACAUGUAUGAGUGUACAGAUAUCUCUACACUAGUACAACAUAAUGUCUGAAUCGGGCUAGGGACAAUGGCAGAACGUGGAGCAAAGAUGAAUGGGGUUUGUGGGUGGCUGGGCAGAAUCAUGAGGAAAGAAUACACUUCUUGUAUAUGUGUGUCCUUCUCAGCAUAUAUGCCGUGUAUAUUUGUGUAUGUGUGCCAUGACAGGGGUCAAGUUCCACUCCUUUAAAGCUCUGUCCAGCUUGAAAAUCCGGGAUUCAACCCAUGGUUGUGGAGGGCUUUAAAGGGACGGAUCGUGAGCACUCUGAUGGCAUGCAUGCACAAGCAUGCACAACGGCAUAUAGGCACAUGCUCAGAAGUGUACUGAGGAAACAUUAUACUGAAAGUAAAAGUAAAAGGACAGGUUUUGGCUGAAACUGCAUUGCCCAAGCAAAAGAUGAGGCAAAUCUCUCACCAAACAUUGGUUCAUAUUCUGACUUUGAAUCUAAUGCACUGACACAUUUUCAACUGGUUCUUCUUUAAAGGAAAAGAAGGAAAGUAAAAUGUUACAGGCACGCUAGUCGAGGAAAGGUUGAACAAUUAAUUAAUUCAAGAAAGAUUAUUAAAGUAAAUAAAAUAAAUGACUAUCACCUCAAAAUAAUAGACUACAAUUAUGAUUGUUGAGGCUUCUGAAGAAAGAUGUAAUAUACUUGUACUUGAUUUUAUUCUGUUAUGAUUUUAGUUUUCUUUUUUAUGCACUCCUUCUGAUAAGUGCAAAAACAAAAACAAAAAGCCCACAACACACCAGUUACUCUAGCCUUGGGCAAUAUUAAUCCCCACCCCCACCUCGCUCAAGGCCACAAAACAAAAAGAACCUAUUUUUAUAGCCUGAAGGGAUUUUUUAAAAAAACUUAAAAUUACAGCUUUACCUUGUUAUUUCUUUCUUUCUUUUUAAAUCUAAUGAUUCUAUAGGGAAAUACUUCACUGGAUAUUCAGAAUAAAAUAAAUGUACAGUUAGAAAAAUAAUAGAGAUGGGGAUUAUAUUGUCUCUGAGUCUUUUGGAUAUGUUGAGAGCUUAAAGGAUGUAUUUGAAAAUAGAUCCCUUUGUUGAAAAGUACCUUUU